ACAUGGUCUUAUGGUCUCGUUGCCGAGAAGUUCUCUUGAUAAUUUCUUCUACCUACUUUGUUAGAAUUUGUAGCUAACAAGUUCAUCGAGUAGUGCGAGAGCGUCGACAUUCUACUGUAAAAACUUCCAGAGCCAUUGUGUGUUUUGGAUAGAGCCGAUAUGAUAAAAAGUUUGUGGAUAAUGUUCGUUGAUAAAUUGCAAUGUGUUAAUGCUGAUCGACUUUGUCAUACUAACUCAUAAUCAUACUAAGAGAUGCAAGCAACAAUAACAAGUUUCCUGAAGAAUGUUCCAGUCGGACAGUUGGAAACAAUUAUGUCUGUAUAAGUUGUGGAAUAUCUUUGGAAAGGCACUCACGAAGAUAAAAUCACAGGCCAUGGGCUUAUGGAAAGAAGUGAAGAGUGGUAUUAUAUAGAAAAACAAUCUCCGAGAUAGAUGCCUGAUGGAUGCCCAUGUAUGUGUUGUUUGCAGGAUGAGCUCACCUCAAAAGCAUUAAUAUCUAGUGAACAUAAAAGCUGUGUUAGGAGUGUUGUUGCAAUGUAUAUAGUUCUAUUUAUUAACCCCCGACGCAGAAACAACGGGGUGUUAUACAUUUGACGUGUCUGUAUGUGUGUAAAUGUGUAUGUGUCUGUCUGUGGCAUCGUAGCUCCCAAACAGAUGAUGCAAUUUUAAUACGGUUUUUUUUUGUUUGUAAGUUAUAUUAGUCGAGAGUGUUUGUUAAGUGUGAUAGGAAUGUUACACACUCAGUUUGCUUGCAAGUAUAGGUAUGUGGGAUAAGUUAUUUUUUGCUUUUUAUAGGGUUUUUAAUUUUUUCACCUUUUUUCAUAAUAAUUGAGUACUUUUGUUUUGUCGGGGGUUUUCUUUUUGUUCAUAGAUGUUGGUAAACUAUGAGUUUAUAUCACUUUAUAAUUAUAAUUUAUAUUAUUAAAUCAUUAAAUAGAUAAAAACCUAACUGUGUAUAUUUUAAUGUUAUUGUUAAGUUUAUUCUCUACCUACUUACUUACCUUAUGUUACCAUAUUAAGUCUGUUCAAAAAUCAUAAAUAGGUUCUUCUAUCAUGUAGGUUGUGAAGUGGAUGACCAACCUCAUCAAUCAGGAUUAUUGCUGAGCCGCCAAUGUUGUUUGAUCAGCCAGCCAUGUCCUAACUGAACCAGGGAUCACAAAGAAAUUUUUGUGUUUUGUCCCUACCGGGACUUGAACCUGGGACCUCCGAAAUGUCAGCCACUGGACCACAUAGGCCGAGAGUACAUGGUUAAGUUGCUGUUUUAUUUCAACUAUUUAAUUAAAUGUAGGAAUAUUUUGUAUGA
rnacentral:lncRNA from 1 species